GCGCCCGUAGCUCAGCUGGAUAGAGCGCAUCCCUCCGGAGGAUGAGGCCAGUGGUUCGAAUCCACUCGGGCGCA
rnacentral:tRNA from 1 species